rnacentral:lncRNA from 1 species
AGAGAGAAAGCAGGCACAGAUCAGUAAGUAACGUGUCCUGGGUCCCAUCAGGAGUGGCGGUCGGCCUGAGAGCCCUGUGCUCCACCACUACACUGUGUCAACUCUGCAAGACAACACAGACAAACGAAACAGGAGCAUACCGGAGCACAGCACUGAAUGUGAGGCCUGCCUGCCUGGAGCCCUCCUCAGAAGGAAGACUUUGCUGAUGAUGCACUUUCCGGUGUCUUGACUCUCCCCACGUAGGAUAAUUCAGUCUCAGACCAAGGUUACUAAAGGGGACGGGACUUCUUGUAGCGAAAGGAAGGAAGAGAGAAGCCACAGAACUGUGAACCUGAGCAGUAGGGAAGCCCGGGUUAUCCUGCCCAGCAGCCCUGAGGACAGACCGCUAAGAAAGCCUCUUCUCCUCUCCUCUCUUCCAUCCCAUGGGAUCCGAUGCCCUAGCUCCCAGCAGCAGGACACCAGGUUAAUGUGAAGAGCUAAAGGACAAGAAGAGCCCCAUGUGUGGAAGAGGUGGGCCCCUGGGGUUGGGCAGUGUUCCAGAGAAAUUGUUCUGACACUCGUGAACGGCGGC